AGCUUUAAAUGUCAAGCUCUUCCUCAAUUGCUUAAUCUCCGCCUCUUGGUUUUCCUUGGAUUUUGCUUGCAAGUUAUUCUUUUCCUCUUCCUUUGCCUGUAUCUUCUCUUCUAUCUUCGCCAAGAACUCCUUCCGUUUUUCGGCACGUUCUUCCAACCUGAAGGAAAAUCCAGCAAUACUGGCCCUUCGUUGUCCACGGGGAGUGGUACUCGAGGAAGUAGUAGAACGAGCAUCCUCGUCCUCUUUAACAGGCAAUUCAGUUUUAGUAGGUUUCUUGUUUUCGUCAUUCGAUACUUCAGAUGUAGCUUUCUUUGUGUUUCCAUUAGCUGUAAGAGACUUCCCGGACAUAGAUUGUCGGAGACUCGGGCCAGCUGCAAUAGUUGUCCUCCUAUUGGUUGCAACACCUCCAUUUGUGUUUGCAUUCUUCAAGACUCCACCAGAUACACCCCUGAUAGCCGGAUUCGAACUAGAAGCCAAUGAUCCCUUCGAAUGUGAAGUCUCAUUCUUAACCCCCUUUGUUUUCAGUUCCUUGACAUCCGAUUUCUUUGGAUACACAUCAAUGCUCCUCCUCAUUACAUCAGAACUAACACCUCGUGAAGGGAACGACAGGCUCUGCGAUUGACUCGCCUUAUUUGAACGAGUCAAUGCAGCUGUUGCUCUUAAACUAGCCUGAUCCUUCACCAUCUUAUUGUUCUUUGUAGUUCCACCAGUAGCAAGCUUUUUUUGACUCGACCCUUUGCUCUUCGGAGCAUUUCGAGACAGUUCAGUUUUGACCACUGAUACAUUAGGUGCUUCGUCAGCCUUUUCCUCAUUUGCAUUUGCCUUCUUUUCAUUCACAUUCUCCUCCUCCUUACUCAUAUCCAAAUUCUUUUCAACCACAACAAUCUUUUCCUCUUCAACUGGAACCCCGUUUUCAGACUCCAUUUAUCCGAAAUAUCUUUUUGUCUACAAGGAUUUUGAGUACUGACUGGUGGCAAAUUUUUCUUCUUUGUUGAAUUGUACAAAUCAAUUAUGACUCAAAGAAUUCAAAAUGUA
rnacentral:misc_RNA from 1 species